rnacentral:rRNA from 1 species
CAGUAGCCACGGGAACACGGAGGGUGCAAGCGUUAAUCGGAAUUACUGGGCGUAAAGCGCACGCAGGCGGUCUGUCAAGUCAGAUGUGAAAUCCCCGGGCUUAACCUGGGAACUGCAUUUGAAACUGGCAGGCUAGAGUCUUGUAGAGGGGGGUAGAAUUCCAGGUGUAGCGGUGAAAUGCGUAGAGAUCUGGAGGAAUACCGGUGGCGAAGGCGGCCCCCUGGACAAAGACUGACGCUCAGGUGCGAAAGCGUGGGGAGCAAACAGGAUUAGAUACCCCGGUAGUCCCUGUCUCUUAUAC